UCCCCGUUGGCGCAACUGGUCAGCGCGUCUGACUGUUAUUAAGCAAAUCAGGAGGUUGAUGGUUCGAGUCCAUCACGGGGAG